AACGAACGCUGGCGGCAGGCCUAACACAUGCAAGUCGAGCGAGACCUUCGGGUUUAGCGGCGGACGGGUUAGUAACGCGUGGGAACGUGCCCUUUUCUACGGAAUAGUCUCGGGAAACUGAGGGUAAUACCGUAUACGCCCUUCGGGGGAAAGAUUUAUCGGAGAAGGAUCGGCCCGCGUCUGAUUAGAUAGUUGGUGGGGUAAUGGCCUACCAAGUCUACGAUCAGUAGCUGGUUUUAGAGGAUGAUCAGCAACACUGGGACUGAGACACGGCCCAGACUCCUACGGGAGGCAGCAGGAGGGAAUCUUAGUCAAUGGGCGCAAGCUUGAUCUAGCCAUGCCGCGUGAGUGAUGAAGGCCUUAGGGUCGUAAAGCUCUUUCGCCAGAGAUGAUAAUGACAGUAUCUGGUAAAGAAACCCCGGCUAACUCCGUGCCAGCCGCCGCAGUAAUAC
rnacentral:rRNA from 1 species